CUACGGAGGCUGCAGUAGGGAAUAUUGCGCAAUGGGCGAAAGCCUGACGCAGCGACGCCGCGUGAGUGAAGAAGGCCCUCGGGUUGUAAAGCUCUGUCAGGGGGGACGAAGGGUAACUGACGGUACCCCCAGAGGAAGCCCCGGCCAACUACGUGCCAGCAGCCGCGGUAAGACGUAGGGGGCGAGCGUUGUCCGGAAUCAUUGGGCGUAAAGAGCACGUAGGCGGCCUGUCAAGUCGGAUGUGAAAACCCGAGGCUCAACCACGGGACUGCAUUCGAAACUGGCAGGCUUGAGUCCAGUAGAGGAAAGUGGAAUUCCCGGUGUAGUGGUGAAAUGCGCAGAUAUCGGGAAGAACACCGGUGGCGAAGGCGGCUUUCUGGGCUGAGACUGACGCUGAGGUGCGAAAGCUAGGGGAGCGAACAGGAUUAGAUACCCGAGUAGUC
rnacentral:rRNA from 1 species